UACGAAGGGGGCUAGCGUUGCUCGGAAUCACUGGGCGUAAAGGGUGCGUAGGCGGGUCUUUAAGUCAGGGGUGAAAUCCUGGAGCUCAACUCCAGAACUGCCUUUGAUACUGAAGAUCUUGAGUCCGGGAGAGGUGAGUGGAACUGCGAGUGUAGAGGUGAAAUUCGUAGAUAUUCGCAAGAACACCAGUGGCGAAGGCGGCUCACUGGCCCGGUACUGACGCUGAGGCACGAAAGCGUGGGAGCAAACAGG
rnacentral:rRNA from 1 species